rnacentral:sRNA from 1 species
UCAUGACGGGCCUUAUGCAAGUUUUGUA